CCUUGAGUUGGGGAUAGCCCAUGGAAACAUGGGGUAAUACCGAAUACGCUCAGGACCCUGUGGGGAUCUGAGGAAAAGCGCUUCGGCGCUGCUCGAGGAUGAGCCUGCGGCUGAUUAGUUAGUUGGUGGGGUAACGGCCUACCAAGGCGACGAUCAGUAGCCGGCCUGAGAGGGUGAGCGGCCACACUGGGACUGAGAUACGGCCCAGACUCCUACGGGAGGCAGCAGCUAAGAAUCUUCUACAAUGGACGAAAGUCUGAUAGAGCGACGCCGCGUGGGUGAUGAAGGCCGGAAGGUUGUAAAGCCCUUUUCUAUUCGAGGAAUAACCAUAGGAGGCAAUGCCUGUGGGAUGACGGUAGGGUAGGAAUAAGCCCCGGCCAAUUACGUGCCAGCAGCCGCGGUAACACGUAUGGGGCGAGCGUUGUUCGGAAUCAUUGGGCGUAAAGGGCGCGUAGGCGGAUAUGCAAGCUUGGUGUGAAAGACCGCAGCUCAACUGCGGGAGCGCGCUGAGAACUGCAUAUCUUGAGUUCAAGAGGGGAAGCUGGAAUUCCAGGUGUAGGGGUGAAAUCUGUAGAUAUCUGGAAGAACAUCAGUGGCGAAGGCGAGCUUCUGGCUUUGAACUGACGCUGAGGCGCGAAAGCGUGGGGAGCGAACAGGAUUAGAUACCCUGGUAGUCCACGCUGUAAACGAUGUGCACUAGGUGUUGGGCCGUUGAAGGCUCAGCGCCGUAG
rnacentral:rRNA from 1 species